UGCGGGGCAGUGCUAGCUGUGUCUGCCGAGGGAGGGGGCGGCGGCAUCGGAGGGGCGCAGGGGCUGGGGAUGUGGAGGGAGGAAGAUGAAAGGUUGGGGGAGGGUGACGAUGUUAUUGACACGACACAGGCACAAAGGGAGAGGGUGGCGGUCUCAAAGGGGGCGUGAGUGGGGAGUAGCUGGCAUCGGGAAGUGAUGGAUGCAGAGAUCGACUGGAGGUGGGGGCGGGGAUGUUGGAAGCUUGGAAACGUCAGAGUUGGAGAGUUGGAGGGGCGAGGUUGGGGGUUUGGAGGAGGGACCGUUGGCAGGAUUGGAAGGAAAUUGGCAAGGAAAGUGGCUGAAUCCUGAGCCUGGCAGGACUGGGGGCGGAUUGGAAGGAAAGGGGUACAAAUGUGGCUUUCCCCUGGCAGGGCUGGGAGUGAAGCUGUGCAGCUCAGCGCCGGUGUUUGCGACUGUGGGUUGGUGUGUACGGCCUUGGAGGCGAGGGGAAGGCAUCGGGACUGACCCAUGGUGGGGACCCGGCCUUACUCCGCUUCCCUCCCUUAGCCACCAUGUUCAACCAGCAGCAGCAGCAGCAGUUCCAGCAGCAGCAGCUGCAGCAGCAGCAAUUGCUGCAGCUUCAGCAGCUGCUGCAGCAGCCCCCACCACAGGCCCCCUUGCCCAUGGCUGUCAGCAGGGGCCUCCCCCAGCAGCAGCCCCAGCAGCAGCUUCUGAGUCUCCAGGGGACCCACUCGGCCUCCUUCCUCAAUGGCUCCAUGCUCCAGAGAGCUUUGCUUUUGCAGCAGUUACAAGGUAUGACUCAGGCCCCUUUGCAUCCUGUGUGGACACUGGCUCCCCAGCAAGCCAAGCACUCAGUCUCACCAAAUCACAGUGACCCUGAGAGUGCCCUGACUCACAGUUAAGGACACCCAGGCUCCAGGGGUUGAAAGACUCUAAGCUGCUCAGCUGAAUGCAGGUCCAUCUGCAGACAGACUGAGGAGUGCCCUGGGCCAUGACGCUGGCUCUCUGGGCAGUGCUCCAUAUACCUCACUGACAUUCAGAUUAGAUGCCAUCUGGCCAAUGCGGAAGCUGAGAAAGUAAGUCCCUUGCCCUAGGUCACACAGCACACCAGCAGUGGCCCAGCUAGACCUCCUAAGCAGUGGGCCUUGAGCAUUAAGGCUGUGCCCUUGCCUCAGUGUCCCCAUAUGGAAAACAGUGUCAGCUCUUCCUUCCAGGCUGCUGCUCCUGAUACUACUGAUGACCCCAAGGGAAGGUACACCAACAACCCUAAUGAAAACACUGAGGCCCAGAAAGGGAUCAUGUGCCCAAGAUGAUCCUGCACAACAGGCAGGAGCUGACUGGAUGGUCACCUCUCGUCAGCUUUGCCAGGGCCUCAUGAGUGUGGAUAGUCCUGGAAGCUGACACUGACUUCCACAUGACAGCUGUAUAUGAGAAUGGACCCCAGACACAAGGACCCCCAGUGUAUACACAGAUAUUCUCUCUCUCUCUCUCUCUCUCUCACACACACACACACACACACAUUUUUUUUUCAGUACUGUAUUGAACCCAGGCCCUUGCAGGUGCUGGGCAAGAAUUCCACCACUAAACUAUGUGCCUAACCCUAUUUCCCCCUUUUACUUUUGCAUAUUAAAAGUCACACUUUUCAAAGAGAAAAAUAACAUGUUAAAAAAAAGGGCGGGGAGGUGGGAAAACCGAAACUUGUGGAAUUGUAUAGGACUACUGUGAUUGACAUAAGUGAGAGGCUGGGUGUUAUUUCUUUUUUACUGAAUAGAACAGCAUGAUCUUUAACCAUAUAAUUUGACAUUCUCUGCCAAAGCCGUUUUAACAGCUGUAUAAUAUUUCAUCGAAGGGACGUGCCCUUGCUUACCUAAGUCUUCUCAGCUGUUCUUUUUUC
ensembl:lincRNA